UAUAUCUAGGUAUACACCAUGGCGGUGUAGGUAGAAGCGGCGGCGGGGGAGGAGGAGGAAGUAGCCAACAUUGUCUUUUAUUUAUUUAUUUAUUUUAAUUGGGGUAGCCCCCAAAAUAUUGGGACAUGUAAAAAAAAGUACAAGUGCACUUGAGUAUAACAAUGGCUGGGUGAGGCCGGUAUAAAUGUCUAUUCUGCACAAGGUACAGACAAGUCUGGUGGGAUCCAUGCCUGGUUCAUUUUAAUAAACGUGAGCUUGUCCACAUUGGCCGUGGACAGGCAGCUGCGCUUGUCUGUUAUUACCUCGUGCCGAUCGCACGUCCCCAUGACGGCGACAAUGCAUUUGGAUGUCUGCCCUUUCGACUUUCGAUGCAAUUUUCCGCGCCUACCAUGGUGACCACGGGUAACGGGGAAUCAGGGUUUGAUUCCAGAGAGGGAGCCUGAGAAACGGCUACCACAUGCAAGGAAGGCAGCAGGCCCACUCCCAACGCGGGGAGGUAGUGAUGACAAAUAACAAUACACUACUCUUUCGAGGCCCUGUAAUUGUAAUGAGUCCACUUUAAAUCCUUUAACUUGGAUCAAUUGGAGGGCAAGUCUGGUGCAGAGCAACUGACCCGUGCGUGCUGCAGCUGAAACUCCAUU